rnacentral:tRNA from 1 species
GUCGGAGUGGCGAAAUGGUAGACGCGCACGUUUCAGGAGCGUGUGGAGCAAUCCGUGAGGGUUCAAGUCCCUCCUUCGACA